rnacentral:rRNA from 15 species
UUUGAAGCGGCGUCGCUAGGCGUUGUGGAGUCAUUGUUGAAAUACCACCCUUUGCUUAUCUAGAGUCUAACCCUUCACAAAAGGGGACAGUGCUUGGUGGGUAGUUUGACUGGGGUGGUCGCCUCCAAAAGAGUAACGGAGGCUUCUAAAGGUACCCUCAGCACGCUUGGUAACCGUGCGUAGAGUGCAAUGGCAUAAGGGUGCUUGACUGAGAGACCGACAAGUCGACCAGGUAGGAAACUAGA